CGGCCCAGACUCCGACGGGAGGCAGCAGUGGGGAAUAUUGGACAAUGGGCGAAAGCCUGAUCCAGCAAUACCGAUGGAGUGAUGAAGGCCUUAGGCUUGUAAAACUCUUUUAGCAAGGAAGACAAUGACGUUACUUGCAGAAAAAGCCCCGGCUAACUCCGUGCCAGCAGCCGCGGUAAGACGGGGGGGGCUAGCGUUGUUCGGAAUUACUGGGCGUAAAGAGUGCGUAGGCGGUUUAGUAAGUUGGAAGUGAAAGCCCGGGGCUUAACCUCGGAAUUGCUUUCAAAACUACUAAUCUAGAGUGUAGUAGGGGAUGAUGGAAUUCCUAGUGUAGAGGUGAAAUUCUUAGAUAUUAGGAGGAACACCGGUGGCGAAGGCGGUCAUCUGGGCUACAACUGACGCUAAUGCACGAAAGCGUGGGGAGCAAACAGGAUUA
rnacentral:rRNA from 1 species